GGCUUACUGGAUGCAAUUAGAACAUAUUCCAAUUGAUAACACUGAUUAUCUUUUUUUUCUUUAAAACUCGCUUUAAUUCGCUCCAGAUUAGAAUUUUAACGACAAAGUACUCAUUAACUGUUCUAUUUCAACCAUUUAAUCAUCACGUGAUCACAGAUUUUAAUCCUACGUGUACACGAACCCAGCUUUUGCGUGAUAUUCAUAUCUUAAC
rnacentral:lncRNA from 1 species